UUCUUUCGUUAUUCUUUACUCACCAUAUUGAGGCUGCUGGAUGAUUUCUCUGUCGUCCAUGGUGAGGUGUUCUUUCGUUAUUUUUACUCACCAUAUUGAGGCUGCUGGGUGACAUCUCUAUCAUCCAUGGUGAGUGGACACACGUUCCAGAACAAGUCUUACCUUCAUGGAGAGAAGCUUGACGGAAACUUCGAAAGGAUUCACAGUGUUCAGAGAUAGCUCCUCCUCCUUCUGACAGGAACAGGUCACAGCGCCUUGUUUGGUUUCUAUGGAGACGUCAUACUCGACCUAGACACGAUACAAAAAUCAAGUCACAGCCAACUACAGUGUCCCUAUGGGGCUGAUAUUCAUACAGAAAACAAGUACCAAUGAGUAUUUACCUAAUGUAGAUCUGCAGUUCCACUUCCCGGUCAGCAGCGAAUGUCUCAGCA